ACUCAAAUGAAUUGACGGGGGCCCGCACAAGCGGCGGAGCAUGCGGAUUAAUUCGAUGCAACGCGAAGAACCUUACCUGGGUUUGACAUAGGAAGAAAUCCAUCAGAGAUGGUGGGUCCGUAAGGGCUUUCUACAGGUGGUGCAUGGCUGUCGUCAGCUCGUGUCGUGAGAUGUUGGGUUAAGUCCCGCAACGAGCGCAACCCUCGUUCCAUGUUGCCAGCAGCGCCUUCGGGCGGCUGGGGACUCAUGGGAGACUGCCGGGGUCAACUCGGAGGAAGGUGGGGAUGACGUCAAGUCAUCAUGCCCCUUAUGUCCAGGGCUUCACGCAUGCUACAAUGGCCGGUACAAAGGGUUGCGAUCCCGUGAGGGGGAGCGAAUCCCAAAAAGCCGGUCUCAGUUCGGAUUGGGGUCUGCAACUCGACCCCAUGAAGUCGGAGUCGCUAGUAAUCGCAGAUCAGCAACGCUGCGGUGAAUACGUUCCCGGGCCUUGUACACACCGCCCGU
rnacentral:rRNA from 1 species